GUUCUCUCCCCUGGAGGCCACUACAGAUGGUCGUGCUGGACAUUCAGUGCACCAGGGGCCGGGCUGAGCCCGAGUGGGGCUGAGCAGUCUCUCAACCUGUCCUCUGCUCACCAAGCCGGAGCCCCGGUGCGGGGCUGCACCUGCCACCAAGGCACACACCUGUGCGCUCCGCCAUCCAAGUAGAAUCCAGUAGCAGCCAUCUUGGGGCCAUGAGAGCAGCCAGCCUAUGAGGAAACGACAACACACUGAGGUGGCAGAGCAGAAGGAAGGAAAGAAACUGAGUCCUUCCUGACACCGUUGAGAUGCUGAAUUAACACGUCCUGCCCACUAAAGCACCCUCCAAUAAAUCUUCUGCAUACAAAACUCCAUCUGAGCAUAUUUCCAGGGAACCCAGCAUAAAGACACUUAAUUUUUGAGACAAGGACACUCAGGCCUAAAGAGAUAAAGUUAAUACCCAAACUAGAGCUUGGAAUCUCAUACGCUGCCACGUG
rnacentral:lncRNA from 1 species